rnacentral:lncRNA from 11 species
UUUCCUCUUUUGAUCUUCCUUCUAAAUUUAAAUGGUGAUGAAACCUCAUUGGAGUCAGAGGCAGCUAAAAUUGAGAAUCCUUAAGAGUCAGUCCCUGGGAGGAGUUUGUGAGUGUAGUAUGUCAGCAAAUGACUUGAGUUAAAUACCAUAUCCCUGACUUCAUCUUUGUGUGAUUAUGUCGCCUCAUUUCCAAAUGGCGUGAUGAUUAUAACGUAUUGAAAUCUGAGCCUCUAAAGUACUGGGUGUGCAUGUAAUAUUUUACCUGGGAAGAAUCUUGCAGGGCAAUCAGAAUGUGGAUAUCAGAUCUGGAUGCAAAUUAGUAUCACCAGACCUUGCGAGGCAGAUGUCUUGCGUGUAAACAAACAGGAAGAAGGAUCACUCACGGAGCACCUGGAGACAGUUGUGUCUCAAAAGCCAGUUGCCAUCUUUGAGAAAUUGGUGAAGGUAAAGGUGAAUCUAACCAGAUCUCAAAAUGUGUAGCUUGGAUUGUGUUGCAAACACAUUCAGAACGGUUUUCAGGCUGUUGAAGGGCAUAUUUGACAAGGCGAAAGGUAAGAGAACUGAUAGAAGAAGUGAUGCCAUGAAAAAACUGGCCACAAAAUGUUUUCAAAUUG